rnacentral:lncRNA from 1 species
UUUCUUUUUUAGCUCACCUGUCCCGAAGGGACAAGUGAGCUUAUGCCAUCACUUGGCGUCCGUCGUCGUCCGUCGUCUGUCGUCCGUCGUCUGUCGUCUGUCGUCGUCUGUCGUCGUAAACUAUUUCAAGAAUCUUCUCCUCUGAAACUACUGGGCCAAAUACUUUCAAACUUUAACUGAAUGUUCCUUAGGGUAUCUUAUUUAUAAAUUGUAUCCGAAGUUUUGAUCUAUCAACAAACAUGGUCGCCAUUGCUAAAAAUAGAACAUAGGGGUCAAAUGCAGUUUUUGGCUUAUAACUCAAAAACCAAAGCAUUUAGAGCAAAUCUGACGGGGUAAUAUUGUUUAUCAGGUCAAGAUCUAUCUGCCCUGAAAUUUUCAGAUGAAUCAGACAACCCGUUGUUGGGUUGCUGCCCCUGAAUUGGUAAUUUUAAGGAAAUUUUGCUGUUUUUGGUUAUUAUCUUGAAUAUUAUUAUAGAUAGAGAUAAACUGUAAACAGGAAUAAUGUUCAAC